AACUCGGAUUGGGAGCUUCCUCCCUGCCGUCAGCGGCGGACGGGUGAGUAACACGUGGGCAACCUGCCUGUAAGACUGGGAUAACUCCGGGAAACCGGGGCUAAUACCGGAUAACUCUUUUCCUCACAUGAGGAAAAGCUGAAAGAUGGUUUCGGCUAUCACUUACAGAUGGGCCCGCGGCGCAUUAGCUAGUUGGUGAGGUAACGGCUCACCAAGGCCACGAUGCGUAGCCGACCUGAGAGGGUGAUCGGCCACACUGGGACUGAGACACGGCCCAGACUCCUACGGGAGGCAGCAGUAGGGAAUCUUCCGCAAUGGACGAAAGUCUGACGGAGCAACGCCGCGUGAGUGAUGAAGGUUUUCGGAUCGUAAAACUCUGUUGUCAGGGAAGAACAAGUACCGGAGUAACUGCCGGUACCUUGACGGUACCUGACCAGAAAGCCACGGCUAACUACGUGCCAGCAGCCGCGGUAAUACGUAGGUGGCAAGCGUUGUCCGGAAUUAUUGGGCGUAAAGCGCGCGCAGGCGGUUCCUUAAGUCUGAUGUGAAAGCCCCCGGCUCAACCGGGGAGGGUCAUUGGAAACUGGGGAACUUGAGUGCAGAAGAGAAGAGUGGAAUUCCACGUGUAGCGGUGAAAUGCGUAGAGAUGUGGAGGAACACCAGUGGCGAAGGCGACUCUUUGGUCUGUAACUGACGCUGAGGCGCGAAAGCGUGGGGGAGCAAACAGGAUUAGAUACCCUGGUAGUCCACGCCGUAAACGAUGAGUGCUAAGUGUUAGAGGGUUUCCGCCCUUUAGUGCUGCAGCAAACGCAUUAAGCACUCCGCCUGGGGGAGUACGGGCGCAAGGCUGAAACUCAAAGGAAUUGACGGGGGGCCCGCACAAGCGGUGGAGCAUGUGGUUUAUUCUAAGCAACGCGAGAACAUACCAGGUCUUGACAUCUCUGACAACCUAGAGAUAGGGCGUUCUCCUUCCUGGGGACAGGAUGACAGAGGUGGCAUGGUUUCGUCAGCUCGGGUCGUGGAAAUGUGGUUAAAGUCCGCAACGAACGCACCAUCGAUCUAGGUGCAGCAUCAGUGGCAGCUAGGUACUGCGGACGACGAGUACGUGGAUGAGCUCAUCUCUAUGCCUUAUGACCUUGGGCUACAACG
rnacentral:rRNA from 2 species